CAAUCCGUGAGGUGACACACUUGGGAGAAAUACCGCACGUGUAUUAAAACAGGCCCCUGCUGAAAGAGGACGUGCCCUGCCUGCAGCCAGUGACAGUGGAAGGAGAGAGAGGCUCCUGGAAGUGGCUCUCUAAGGCAAAAUACAAUGUCAUCAUAGCUCAUUGUAACCUCAAACUCCUGGGCUCAAGCGAUCCCCCUGUCUCACCCUCCGAGUAGCUGGGACUGCAAGGUUGCAUCUUCAUAACUGGAAUGUGGACACAAUGCUGGAGUUUCAGCAGACAUCUUGGACAGUGAAGUGACUUUGAAGAGGAAAGCCACAUGCUGAAUGAAGAUGACAAAGCAGAAACCUAGGCACCUGGGCCACUGGUGACACAGGAACCAGCUCUGUAAUACCUACCACCAAACUUCCUAUAUGUGACAGAGAAAUAAACUCAUCUUGUUUAAAUUAAA